AUGGUGCUGAGUGGUCCAGCACUGACGUAUGAGAGAAAGAGGGGUUGGUGGGGCAGCAGGGCAGCAACCACGGGGAGCUUGAGGGAUGAGCUGCUCAAAGCCAUUUGGCAUGCCUUCAUUGCACUCGACCAUGACCACAGUGGCAAAGUCACCAAGUCCCAGCUCAAGGUCCUUUCCCAUAACCUGUGCAUGGUGCUGAAGGUUCCUCAUGACCCGGUUGCCCUUGAAGAACACUUCAGGGAUGAUGAUGAGGGGUCAGUAUCCAACCAGGGAUACAUGCCUUAUUUAAACAAGUUCAUUUUGGGAAAGGUCCAAGACAACUUUGACAAGAUUGAAUUCCAUAGAUUGUGUAGGACCCUCUGUGUCAAAAAAAAACCUCACAAAGAAUCCCCUGCUCAUUACAGAAGAUGCAUUUAAAGCAUGGGUUAUUUUCAACUUUUUAUCUGAGGCCAAAUAUCCGUUAAUUAUUGUGACAGAAGAAAUUGAAUACCUGCUAAAGAAGCUUAACAGAAGCUAUAGGAGGAGGUUGGCAGCAAGAACAAUUUGAACAUUAUAACAUCAACUUUGAUGACAGUAAAGAUGGUCUUGCUGCAUGGGAACUUAUCGAGCUUAUUGGAAAUGGACAGUUUAGCAAAGGCAUGGAUUGACAGACUGUGUCUAUGGCAAUUAAUGAAGUCUUUAAUGAACUUUAUAUUAGAUGUAUUGAAACAGGGUUACAUGAUGAAAAAGGGCCACAGACAGAAAAACUGGACUGAACGAUGGUUUGUACUAAAACGCAACAUAAUUUCUUACUAUGUGAGUGAGGACCUGAAUGAUAAGAAAGGAGACAUUCUCUUGGAUGAAAAUUGCUGUUUAGAGUCCUUGCCUGACAAAGAUGGAAAGAAAUGACUUUUUCUCGUAAAAUGUUUUGCUAAGACUUUUGAAAUUGGUGCUUCAGAAGAAGAAACAGGAGUGGAUUCAAGCCAUUCACUCUACUAUUCAUCCGUUGAAGCUGGGCAGCCCUCCACCACACAAAGAAGCUCAACAUCGUCUGAAGGAACUCCAGAAGAAGCAACUGGCUGAACAAGAGGAACUGGAGUGACAAAUGAAGGAGCUCCAGGCCACCAACGAAAGCAAGCAGCUGGAGUUGGAGGCCGUGCGGAAGAAACGAGGAAGCAGCAUCUCGUGCAGCAGAAGAGGAAAAGAAACGCCUUCAGACUCAAGUGGAAUUUCAGGCCAGGUUCAGCACAGAGCUGGAAAGAGAGAAGCUUAUCAGACAGCAGGUGGAAGAACAGGUUGCCCAAAAGUCCUCUGAAGUGGAACAGUAUUUACAGCGAGUACGGGAGCUGGAAGACAUGUACCUAAGGCUGGAAGAGACUCUUGAGGAUGAGAGACAGGCCCAGCAAGAUGAAGAGACGGUGCGGAAGCUUCAGGCCAGGUUGUUGGAGGAAGAGUCUUCCAAGAGGGCUGAACUAGAAAAGUGGCACUUGGAGCAGCAGCAGGCCAUUCAGAUGACUGAGGCAGAGAAGCAGGAGUUGGAGAAUCAAUGUGUUCUGGAGGAGCGGGCCCUGCAGGAGGCCAUGGAGCAGCUGGAGCAGGAACGGAAACAAGCACUUGAGCAGUACAAGGAAGUUAAAAAGAAGCUAGAGAUGGCACCUAAUAAGACCAAGAGCUGGAAGGACAAAGAGGCCCAUCAUGAAGGAUUAAUUCGACUGAUAGAACCAGCUUCAGAGAACCCUCACCUGAUCACUAACUGGGGACCUGCUGCUUUCACUGAGGCGGAACUUGAAGAGAAAGAACUGGAAAGAGAAAAAGACCACGGAGUGA